AGUCCGGAUCCGAGAGGCCGUGUGCUAGUGCGCGAAGACUUGCGAUUUUUUUUUUUUUCCUUCUUCUGCUUUUUUUUUUUCGUUUCCUCCCUGCGGAGUCUUUGCGCGGCGCACGUUGGCUCUCUUUCUUUUUUUGCGCUCGCGGCCUCUUUCAGCGGCGACGACGCGAAUCCACGAAGCGGCGGGACUCGAACGCGGGUGUUUGGCCGAGGGAGGGUGGCUCCUCUUUGUUUGACCGACAACUUUUUCCCUUCUCUUUUUGGCCCGUAACGGAUUGUCCCUCCCUUGGCUCGAUACUAUUCGUGAUUCUGGUGGAGGAGGUGGUUGAAGAGGAGGAGGAGGAGGAGGAGUGGGAGGAGGAGGGGGUGAGGGUGUCCGCUGUGAGUAGGAGCCGUUUUUUUUUUUCUUCUUUUUUGCGUAAAUUGUCAGGAGCCCCGCACAAACUUGGAAGUUGCGCAGGUCGACACGCAACGGCUGUUUUGUUGUGCGUGUGUUUUGUUGUUUGUUGUGUUUUUGUUUUUAAAGCAAUCGAGGCGCAGGAAACUGUCACGAGAGUUAAGAGUCCAUCUGGAAGCUCGCUCCAAAACUUGACCAGGACAGACGGAUCCUGCUCCUCCCUCUUUUGUUUGUGUGUGUGUGUGCGUGCGCGCGUGUGUGUGCGCGUGUAUGUGUGUGUGUGUGUGUGUGUGUGUUGGGGGGUUUACCGUAGUGCAAUGUGUCUCCGAGGGUGAAUGCGUUGCUUCUAACGUGCGUCGAGGCCGCACACGGUGAUGCACCGCGAAGAAAAGCGCCCACGAACAGGUAACAAAACAGCAACAACAACAACAACAACAAAACCCGCAACCUUUAUGGGAGUGAUGGGACCGACACGAGAGAGCUGCGUGCUGCCGGAGAGAUUCCCCCCCUUUUUUGUCCCUCUCGUGGUAAAGUAUGUUGUGUAACGACGCGUUUGAUUGUGCAGACUUGCGGGACCUUCGAGGCUUUGAUGUGUUGCUACAAGCUCGUUGAGUCGUUUCCCCGGAAAAAGGGGAGAUGCACUUUUUAAGUUUUUGGUUGAAAAAAUUGUGUUUUGUAUUUGUUUAAAUGCGGCGGUGCUCUGCGUGCGUUCUACUACUAAAAGUACAUCAUGUAUUUGAUAGAUCAGGUACGGAGAGGGCAACGUGUAGUUAUCGAAAGUCUUUGGGAGUUUGCCUCCCCCCUCCUCCUCCUCCCCUCCUCUCUUGUCUCCCCCAAAAUUAGAAUGCACGUCAUUCACUGGAGAGAAUAGUAUGAGCCCACAUGCUGGGAAGUACCCAGUCUCCCAGGGAGAGAGUAACCAAUGCUGCUUAAUUUAGGAAGUUAAACUCCACCUCUGGACGGUUAGAUUGUUAAAACUGAAAAUGUCCCUCUGUCGUAGUGCGGUAAAAAAAAAGGCUGUUUUUUUGUUUUGUCAGUUUGAUUAACAAGUUCUGAUGCUUCCAAAAUAAAAGUACACUCUGGGGGUUUAUAGUCUGAUGGUGUUUGGUGUUGUUGUCCACUGCCCUUUUCCUCUUGCACUACUGGACAUUGAGAUGAGCAGUGCAAUAUUAAAAGGGCAUUGGCUGAUGGAACAGAGACACACCUGAAACGCCUCCACACGUAACCUGAAACAUGGAAUCAUCAGGCCCAAAAACAAUCUUCCAUUUGUUGCUGUUCUUUAUUUUGUAGCAGAUUUAAACGGUUAAACACGUGAUCUGAACUUUACAUUUCCGGUUUUUAGCACGCUUACUUCAAUUCAAUUAAAAUGUCAACACCCACGUCUUUCUUUUUUCGUUUCUUUGUCAACCCCCCCCCCCCCCCACCCCAUUUCAUCCAAACAAACAGCACCGUUGCUUAUUUAAAUGCAAUUGGAGUUUGGCAGCGAGGACGGGCCGUCCCCACGUCCACGCGCUGACACAUGCUGAGGUCAGCUGCUUUGACAAUGUUGCACUACUGUACCAUCCAUUCUAGCAGUGCAAUAGUAUUGUCAUAGCAUUUGGCCCCCAGCUCACACUAAACUGCUGCUAAAGGGCCCCGUUUCAAAUGGGUUUGUGUGGAGAGUGGAGCCGAUGACUGACAGCAGGUGGUGGCGCGGCGCUAACCCCCCCUCCACCCUAAACUGUUUACCCACUUCUGUGUUUACACAGAAGAGUCGACGCACAUUGGAGGCCGAGUAGCGGCUCGCGACCGAAAUUUCACAGGACACGAGCGCGUCGAACGGGCGCCAGUUUUUUCCGAAGGGAAGAGAACAAAUGGCAUAACGCCUUUGGCCAAACCGUGGGAUUGAUUUUCUGUUUUGUUUUGUCCAUCUCGUGUGGUGGCUGCAUUGAUUUGAAGUAAUCAGUCGGCCAUGUUUUAUUUUACAACACGGCUCAUUAUGCGAAGUGACCGCCGGGAGGGCCGAUCAAUAGGUCACGACUUACCCUAAACUUUUCGCUGGAUCUUAAAGAGUGUUCUAGCGAAAGCGUUCUCCGACAACCUCACAGUCGUUCGUUUCUUAGCGGCGGCCAUUCCGCUGCGCUCCUGGUCUUCACCUGUUUGUCGUUUUGUCGUCACGCCAAACACUGCGUCGGUGUGCGACGGUGUGCGUCGUGGUAAAAUAAGCAGAUGGAGAAGGGAAGGGGGAAAAAAAGUGGGCGGGUGAGGUCAAUGUGUGUUUUUGAGCAUCCUCCGUUGCAGCAGGUCGACGGGGGGAGGGGAGGUUAGGGAGGAAUGUAGGGAGCAAGCCCCCCCCCCCCUUCGCCUUGUGCCUUCUCCUCUGUGUGUCUUUUCCUUUCUGUGUUGAGAUUAGGUGUCCCUGCUCCUGUGCGCGCGCCUCGUGUUUGGACCAUAAGGCAAGCGAGUAAAGAGGUUUGUUUGUUUUGAUGACUGUCGGUGGACCCUCCCCCUCCCCCCCGGUUGGGAAUGUUUAACCACACGGUCCAGUUUGCUGUUGCGAGGUGCAACGGGAGGACAUAAGUCAUUAUGUCCAAAAAAACGAAAGAGGACAAAACUCGUUCGGGUACAUGCUGCAAAUUCUUGUUUCAGGUGGAAGUGGUUUGUGGUGUAAAAGCCGGUGUGUCUGUGUGGAUUUUAAAAACAAAAUUAAAAAAAGGUGUUCUUUUGAUUUUUAGAAGAUGGAAAAGUGCAUUAAUGUGAUUGCACUCUUGAGGGGAAGGCAAAAAGGAGACCUCAGCCACUCGACUGUGUGAAAUUCUCCCCGAGUAAAGAACGUGACUUGUUUAGGCUUGCUUGCAAUGCUUGCUGGGAAAUCCUGGAAUGUGUGGAAUGGGGGACGGUGGUGCUUCUGCAGUUAUCUCACUGCGUAGAGCAGCAAGUACCCUGCAACGAAAACCCAACAUGUCAGCCGCGCUUUCUCCUCAGCCACUUCUUAAUGUGCAGAAAUACCGGCAUCUGCAUUUCAUUAAGUGCAUUAAAAGAAACUGCGCAGGAAAUGUUUUUGUUUCUUUCCUUUCGAGACGUGUCAUUGACCCCAUUGUCCUUGGGCGGAUGUGUUCUCGUUACACGGUAGUUAAUUACGCUUUUUAAAGGCACAGAUUGAUUCGCUGUUAGACGAUGGUUAAAAAGGAAAAACAAAACUGUCAUUCAAGUACAUGAUUUUUACGUAAAAUGUAUAUCAGUUAAAUGUGUUUUUAAUAAAAGUAAAUGUGGUUUAUGUGACAUUCCUCAUGAGGGACAAACCGCUGUUACUGUUCUCUGACACCCUUUAUCUGAAUAAAGAUGAUUCAAUUAAA
ensembl:lncRNA